rnacentral:tRNA from 1 species
GGGCGUGUAGCUCAGUUGGUAGAGCGUUCGCUUCGCAUUCUUCUCUGGAUUGCGAAAGGUCUUGGGUUCGAUUCCCAACUCGUCCA